rnacentral:tRNA from 1 species
GGCUUCGUGGUCUAGUGGUAUGAUUCGUGCUUCGGGUAAUUCCCAUAUCAGGAUACUGGUAUUGUGCGAGGUCUCGGGUUCAAUCCCCGACGAAGCCC